AUCCAACUAGCAUGACCAUGACCCUGUAUCCUCUGUCUCCUUUUCUUAUAUAUCAUAAUAUCGUACGUAGGAGAAGACUCAACACAAGGAGAAGACUCAACACAAGGAGAAGACUCAACACAAGGAGAAGACUCAACACAAGGAGAAGACUCAACACAAGGAGAAGACUCAACACAAGGAGAAGACUCGACAGGUAGGUAAUCAACAAGUAGAAGAAUCGUCGCAAGGACAGGACUCGUCACUAGGAGAGGAUUCGACAGGUAGGUAAUUGACACGAGGACACUCGUUGCAAGGACAGGACUCGUCUUAAGCACAGGACUCGUCAGGUAGUCUUCUCCUUGUGUAGAUUACCUAACGGAGAGAACUCAACACGAGGACUCGACUGGUAGGUAAUCGACACAAGGAGAAGACUCGUCGCAAGGAGAAGACUCGUCGCAAGGAGAAGACUCGUCGCAAGGAGAAGACUCGUCGCAAGGAGAAGACUCGUCGCAAGGAGAAGACUCGUCGCAAGGAGAAGACUCGUCGCAAGGAGAAGACUCGUCGCAAGGAGAAGACUCGUCGCAAGGACAGGAAUCGACAUAAGGAGAGGACUCGACAGGUAGGUAAUCGACACAAGGAGAGGACUCGACAGGUAGGUAAUCGACACAAGGAAAAGACUACACAAGGAGAUGACUCAAUGCAAGUAGAAGCCUCUUCGCAAGGACAGGACUUGACACAAGGAGAGGACUCGACCGGUAGGUAAUUGACACAUGGAGAAGACUCGACACGAGAGGACUCGAAAGGUAGGUAAUCGACACAAGAAGACUCGUCACAAGGAGAUGACUCGAUGCUAGAGGACUCGAAAGGUAGGUAAUUCACACAAGACUCGUCGCAAGGAGAGGACUCUACGCAAGGAGAAGACUCUAGGCAAGGAGAAGACUCUACACAAGGACAGGACUCGACAGGUAGGUAAUCGACACAAGAAGACUUCACAACGACAGGACUCGACAUAAGGAGAGGACUCGACGGGUAGGUAAUCGACACAAGUAGAAGACUCUUCACAAGGAGAGGACUCGUCACAAGGAGGACUCGACAGGUAGGUAAUUGACACAUGGAGAAGACUACACAAGGAGAAGACUCGUCGCAAGCACAGGCCUCAAAAGAUAGGUAAUCGACACAAGGAGAAGACUCGUCGCAAGGAGAAGACUCGUCGCAAGGAGAAGACUCGUCGCAAGGAGAA
rnacentral:lncRNA from 13 species